rnacentral:rRNA from 1 species
UGGGGAAUUUUGGACAAUGGGCGAAAGCCUGAUCCAGCAAUGCCGCGUGUGUGAAGAAGGCCUUCGGGUUGUAAAGCACUUUUGUCCGGAAAGAAAUCCUUGGCUCUAAUACAGUCGGGGGAUGACGGUACCGGAAGAAUAAGCACCGGCUAACUACGUGCCAGCAGCCGCGGUAAUACGUAGGGUGCAAGCGUUAAUNAGAAUUACGUGGCGUAAAGCGUGCGCAGGCGGUUUGCUAAGACCGAUGUGAAAUCCCCGGGCUCAACCUGGGAACUGCAUUGGUGACUGGCAGGCUAGAGUAUGGCAGAGGGGGGUAGAAUUCCGACGUGUAGCGUGAAAUGCGUAGAGAUGUGGAGGAAUACCGAUGGCGAAGGCAGCCCCCUGGGCCAAUACUGACGCUCAUGCACGAAAGCGUGGGGGAGCAAACAGGAUUAGAUACCCUGGUAGUCCACGCCCUAAACGAUGUCAACUAGUUGUUGGGGAUUCAUUUCCUUAGUAACGUAGCUAACGCGUGAAGUUGACCGCCUGGGGAGUACGGUCGCAAGAUUAAAACUUAAAUGAAUUGACGGGGUCAUAGCUGUUUCCU